rnacentral:sRNA from 1 species
AUGAGUACAGAUGAUACUAGUGAUGAGGGAGACAAGGAUCUAGGUUUGAAUUAAGGUGUGUGAACUCCCAAUUCCAGACAACGACAUGUAAUAAUGUAUGUGGUGAGGUCCAUUACAUAUCAAAACUCAAAGAGAAAUGAAAUAUUUUGUUACAUUCACGAUAUGGACACAUAUUUAAAGUGUAAAAAAUAUGAAAAUUUUCAAGAGAAUAAAAAAGAAGUUUAAAAUCAAUUAGGAAAGAAUAAUAAGAUACUAACAUAAUAUCAUGUAAGAUAGUAUGUAUUAGAAUUAUUUUACAAUUUUUAAAAUGACAAUGAGAUUCUUCUCAAAAAAAAAAAAUGAGAUGGUAUAUCAACUUAAAAUAAAUUAUGCACCAAAACAAAAUAGCGUAAUAGAACUAAUUAGGACUUGGUAAGAUUAAUGUUUUGUAAUUCUUCACUAUGAACUUAAUUUUGAGGACUAUUUAACCAAAAAAAAAUCUUAAUUUUGAGGAUUGUAACUGCAAUACUCUUGCUUAACCUAGUUCCUACAAAAAUUUAUGAAUAGAAAGAAAGCCUAACCGACAAGAAUAAAAUUUUGAGGUUCUUUAACUCAUAUAUUAAUUUUAUAUUUAAGGGAUAAAUUAUAUAAAUGUAAACAGUUUACAAAAAAAAAAAAUUACAUAAUCUUUUUUUUUUCUAAUAAAAAAAGGGGUCUUCAGUAUGGGUUCGUUAACCCCACGCUACAUGACAACAGUGAGUAAUACCACGUAUAAUAUACGGCCUUAUUAGAACUAUUGCUCGAACCGCUCUUCUUUGAAUGAUAGGAUAAGAACUCUUAUCAUCAAGCUACCCGUGUGGUCAAAAAAAAAAAAAAAAAAACAUAAUUAUAAACACUACUUUUGUACCCUUUUAUUCUUUUUAGAGAACUAGUAAGGGUUGCAAGUACUGCCCCUUGAGUGAAAAAAUUUCAGUUAGAAUUAUUUUCUGAAGUAGUAUCAAACCAUGCAUUUAAAUUUAGAAUAGUUAUUUAACAUAUGACUAUCUAUUUAGUAUGAUAAUUUCCUAGGAGAAAGUAUUUGGUAUCAAAUGAUACCAUGUCAGCGUUAUCAAAAUCCAAUAAGUGUAAGACAUGUCAGCAAAAAAUAACUAACUCAUUAAUAAUUGAAAGAUAUGUGUUAGUGGGUAGUUAUUUUUACACAUAUGUUUCUUGUUUAUUAGAUUUUGAUACGGAUGAUGUGGUAUUAUUUGAUACAAAAUACUUUUUCAUUUCUUAGAACCAAUUUACUAAAGACAGUAUCUACUCACAAAAAAAUUAUACUAAGAAUGAUAACAAAUGUCGUCAUCUUCCAACAAUAAACAACUAAAUUUUGAUAAAACAUUGUCACAAUAUUUAAUUUUUCGCAAUAAAUGAUGACAUAUGCUACAAUUGAAACUCUUCAUCAAAUUAAAUAUCUACAAUCUUUUGCAAUGAAUAUUUUGUUAUUCAUACUUUAUUCAUUAUCAUUUUAUUUUAUGAGCCUAACUAUUUAUGAGCCUAACUACAAUACUUAGCUUACUUAAUUUUUAAUGAACACAUUUUUAAGGUAGAAAACAAAUAAAAAAGAACAAAAUAACAAAAGACAUAUGUCAUUGAAGUUUCAAUUAGAUAAAAUUAUAAAUUUAGAAGAUUUAACCACUAAUAAAUUAGUGUUCUCUAGGUAACAAAUAGAAUACUAUAUACAUCACCAUUUUUACUUUCUAAGUAUGACUAACAUAUAAAACUCAAAAUACAUGAAAUUUUUUUUUUGGGACAUUGAAAUUUAGUGAGGCAUUUUAAAUAUUGCACAAUGAUAUUUUCUAGGAACUAUAAGAUUUUGUUAGGGUUUAACUAAGAGAGUAACAACAAAGAUUAUAUACUUGUUUAUAAAAUAUAAAUGUGGAAAUUAUUCAACUUUAAAGUUUGGGGGAUGAAACUACCCCAAACAUAAAGGGGGAAAACACUUUUUCCAUAAUUCUUUUUUGUUGGUAAAACUAUGUGUUGUUUUUUUUUUUUUUUUUAACUUUAAAUAGUGUGUUAAAAAAAAAAAAAAGUCAGCUGAAGAAAAAAAUUCUUUUUUGUUGGUAAAACUAUAUAUUAUUUUUUUUUUUUUUUUUAACUUUAAAUAGUGUGUUAAAAAAAAAAAAAAGUCAGCUGAAGAAAACAGUCCAUAAAACUAUGAAUUUUGGCUCAACAAAUCUGCUAAAAAAAAAUGUUAGGAAUACAAUAAAUGUCACGAUAUUUUCUCAAUACCUUUAUUUUAGCUAUGGUGGGUCCUGGUAUGAUAUUUUAUAAUUUUAUUUUAGAGUAAUGCUAUAUCCACAACAUUUUCACAACAAAUUAUUGGUGGUAAAUUGUUACUAAGUUUUAAUUGGGACAACUGCUUUAAACUAGGCAUUAAAAAAAAACAACAAACAAAAAACCAACAGAAGAAAAUUGUGCGUGAAACAGUGAAUUUUUGCUCAUCAAAUUUGACUAAACCAAAAAAGAAGUCUAGGAACACAACAAAAUGUUACAAUAUUUUCACAAUACCUUUAUUUUCAGUCGUGGUAAGUUUCGGUCUGAUAUAUUAUUAUUUAUUUUAUAGAAAUGCUAUCUCCAUAAUACUUUAAUAACAAAUUCUAGAUAGCAAGUUAUUAUUGAUUUUAAAAUGGACUCACGACUGAUAUUAUUUUUUUAUCCAUUAAUAGUAGCUUACCUAUGAUUUGUUGUGAAAUUAGUGUGAAAAUGUUGUGGACUUAAGUAUAUUUUUUAUUUGAUUUAUAAGAAACUGAGAUUUCAACAAUUGUGAAAAUCUUGUGAUAACAAGUGUUACAACAUUUUCACAAUACAUUUAUUUUCAAUUAUGGUUGAUCACAGUCUCAUAUUUUAUUAUUUUAUCUCAACCUAUAAGAAAUUAACAACUCAAUAAUUGUAAAAAUAUUGUGAAAUUUAUUGUGUCAAUAUAAUAAUAUAUAUGUCAGCUCAUAUUGUAAGGGCAAUGUUUGGUUCACAGCCCAAAAGAUUUGAACAAUGGCCCAAUAAGUCCACAACAAUAGAUUUGUUAGAGAGUGAGUAUCAAUGAGUUAAAACUUAAAUCACAAUAGGUUAGUUGAUACUAGGAUGAUUAAGACAAACAAAUUGAAAGGAAAAACACUCUUCCGUCAAGUUCGAGGAUGGUAUCUUCUUAUAUAUGCAUCUCUCUUAGAUUUCUACAAAUAUUCAAGUUCUUGGUUAGAGAAUGAUCUUCUUCCUUGUUUUUUUCUCCCUUUGUAUCUGAAUCUUCCUUUUACUUUUAUAUCCAGCCACAACUCAUCUGAAUCUUACACUUGGAGGGUUGAGAUUGUCCUUCUAAAACUCCUGUCCCAUCCGGAACAUACUCGCAAGUUUUACCAUGUAAUCUUAUUUGUGUCACUACUAUUCAUAGUCACUUCCUCAUUAAUGCGUCCAGAGGAGUGAUUGUCUCGUAUUUAAUGCAGAGGGGAUGUCUUCUAUACCCUUAUUUCUUCAUCCUUCUCGUACUCUGUGCCAAGUCUGUUUUCUUUCAUUUUUGAUGUUUUAACUUUAUGCGUCUCACAUAACUAAUGCUCGUUCUCGAGGUCUGAGGUGCAUCCUCAGAAAAAACUUGACAACCUGUUUAAAUUAGGUUUGGGAUCCUCGUCCUCACACAUAAUAAUAAUAAUAAUAAUAAUAAAAGAGCACAAAUGGACGACUAAAAAAAAAAAAACCAAUGAAGUGAUGAACAAUACAUAUUGAAGAAACCAAAAAGUACCGUAGCGUUUACACAUUCACACAACAAGUAUUACAACAUUUUCACAAAACAUUUAUUUUCAGCUGUGGUUGAUCACAAUCUCAUAUUUUAUUAUUUUAUUUCAAUCUAUAAGAAAUUGACACCUCAAUAAUUAUGAAAAUAUUAUGAAAUUUGUUGUGUCAGUAUAACAAUAUAUAUGCUAGCUCAUAUAAAUAUUUUUUAAAAAAAAAGCACAGAUCGAUGAAUAAAAAAAAAAAAUUGUGUGUCAGUAUAACAAUAUAUAUGCCAGAUCAUAUAAAUAUUAUUUAAAAAAAAAAGAGCACAAACUGAUGACCGAAAAAAAAAAAAAAUCAAUGAAGUGAUGAACAGUACAUAUUAAACAAACCAAAAAACAUUGUAGCUUUUACAGAUUUACACAACAAUUGUUACAACAUUUUCACAAAACAUUUAUUUUCAGUUGUGAUUAGUCACCGUUUCAUAUUUUAUUAUUUUAUUUCGACAUAUAAGAAAUUGGCAUCUCAAUAAUUGUGAUAAUAUUAUUAAAUUUAUUGUGUUAGUAUAAUAAUAUACAUGCCAACUUACAUAAAUAUUAAAAAAAAAAAAAAAAAGUACAAACCGAUUACUGGAGGAAAAAAGAAUAUAUAUAUAUAGGGACUGAAUAAACCAAAAGACACUCUAACUACUCUGUGCAUUAUAGAGAAGUGGACAUGGAAAGUGGAUAAAGCCCGGUUUGGAUACAGUGUUUGCGCGUCUGCAUUUUCAAUUUGCGUGUUUUGCCUUUUUUUUUUUCUUUUCUUGGUUAGCCGUGUUUUCUGACUGUCAGUGUACAGUAUACACCAGUGUACUAUUCAGUAACUUUUCAACAAUUUUUUAUCAAAAAUAAGUCUCACGUUAUUAUUUACAUAUUUAAAAAUUAUUUUUUUAAAUUAUUUUUAAUUUUUAAUUUUUAAUAAAAUAAAUUGUAUUUAACGGAUAUGCUACAGUUUUCAUCGAAUAAACCAAAAGAUACUCUACCUACUCUGUGCAUUACAGAGAACUGGACAUGAAAAGUGGAUAAGUGGAUAUGCAAGACUUGUGAAAAGAGUUUGAAAUUAUUAGACAAGGUGGGGUACCCCCGUAAUCAUUUGAAAUUGAAUUAUUAUGGCCUGUGCGUUGGAAAAUUGACAUGAGGGGAAUCUUGCGUUCAAUUUCCCCGUUGACGUGCGUUGUAAAGACUGUAUAGGCGUACAUCGUUCCGUGUACAAAACUAAAGGGAAAAAAAUUGAUGGGUAUUUAUUGAAGGUAUUACAAUAUAUUAGUGCGUAAUGUAUGAAUCAUAAAAUCAUAUGUAUUUUUCCAUACAUAAAUAUGUGAAUUAAAAUGAGUGUUUUUGCUAAUAUUUUUUUCUUUAAUUUAUUUGAGUCUAACAAGCUAUUAGACUUGUUUUUAACACAAAAUUAUUGGGUUAUUUAAUUGAGCCCAAAAAAAUAACUUGUCCUUGAAUUUUUUUUUUCUCAUACAAAAUUUGGAUUACACAUUUGAUACUUUUAUUUCAUGUAAAUUUCUUAUUUAUAUAUUAUGAAUAAAGUAUUAAAUGACAAUAUAAUUAUUUUUUUUUACUUUUGCUAUUAUUAUUAUUAUAAGUCUAAGAAGCUAUAAUGCUAGAAAGAAAUAUAAAGAAAAAAUUAUUAAAAUUGAAUAACAAUAAGAAAUAGUAAAUGUUGAUGAUGAUGUAAAAAAUGUCAAUGAAGAAAUAAUCUCACAAGAUGAACAUGGUAAUAUUGAUUUGCAUUGAGUUUAUUAGGCAAAAUGUUGAAUAUAAGUAAAACAUUAUUAUUUUAGCUCAUAUGUCAUAUAUUAUCACUUUUAAUUUCAAUAAAUUUGAAUUUAUAUGCCAAGCCAAGCUCAAACUUUUAAACUUUUUGACAAGCUCGAGCUCAAACAUCAUUUAUAGCCUUAGUUCUAACUUGAGCCAAGUUUGAACAUUAUAGAUUUUAUAUUCGUUGUCGAGCCAAAUUAGAACACUCAUUACUUGACAGAUUUUACAUUUGUUGUCGAGUCAAAUUAGAACAUUCAUUGCUUGACAAAACUUUACUCGUUUACAUCUCUAUUCUUAAGGGUCCAAAAAGCAAAAAAAUAAUUUGCUAAAUGAACACUAUUGUAUAGUCCUCCAAUAAGGUUUGUUUUAUUUUAAAGAUAGUGUUCUACAUACAAAUUAUUUUAUACAAUUUUGCACAAUUGAAAAAACAAAUAAAAUCAUGAUUUCAAUCAUAUUGUAACUGGAAGUCGUAAUUUUAGUUAUUCUUUUUUUUGUGUAUAAAAUUGUGUAAAAUAAUUUGUGCAAUAAAAGAGCAAUACUACAACCACUAUUACAAUAUUUUUACGAACGGUUAAUAUUACAAAUUUUCAGUUAACAUUUCCUUUUAUAUCACAAAUACCCAUACACCGCAACAAAAUUGGUUGGUGUGGGGGUGACAAAGGCUGAAGCUAAAGGCCUGAACAAAGUUGGGCGCGCUUCCCCAGGUCCACCGCUUUACAGGUGCUGCGUAUGUAUCGGUUUUUUCUUGUCCUUGCCUUUAUGUUUUUUUAUUAAAAAGCUUCCUUUCUUCUUUCCACUAAUUACGGGUAUCGGUUUUUUCUUGUCCUUGCCUUUAUGUUUUUUUAUUAAAAAGCUUCCUUUCUUCUUUCCACUAAUUACGGAAGGCAUGAUUUUUUUGUCUUGAUAGAAUCUUAUGCAUAGGAAGUUUGGCUAGUGGUGGGUGUCCAAUGGCUUCUACUAGCAUCCCAUGGUCUCUUUGAUUUCUGUCGUUGCUAUAGUUUGCAUGCUUCUUGCCAACUACUCCGUUUGAACACAUGAUAGUCUGUCUUAGAAUCUGGACUCUAACUCGCUUAGUAAUAAGUGUGUACCAAUGGCUUCCACCAGAACUCAAGUUGGCCCACCAUCUUUUUCCUCUCCUUGUUCUAAACCCCAACCAAAAAAUGACAUUUUCCUCAAUUUUAGAGGUGAAGACACCCGUGAUAAUUUUACUGACCAUUUAUAUCAUGCUUUGAAAGAGAAAGGGUUUAUCACUUUUAAGGAUGAUAAAGAACUUGUGCCUGGAAAUCCCAUUUCAUCAAAACUCUUAGAUGCGAUCGAGAAAUCAAGAAUGGCAGUCAUCAUUUUUUCUGAAAAUUAUGCAUCUUCAACAUGGUGCCUAGAAGAACUUGUAAAGAUUGUUGAAUGCAUGAAGGGAGGGUUAAAAGUGUUACCCAUUUUCUACCAUGUGGAUCCUAGUCAUGUGCGGCAUCAGAAGGAGAUUUUUGCUGUGGCCUUCGCCGAACAUGAAAAACGUCUCCAGGAGAACCCAGAGCAAGUGCAGAUAUGGAGAACUGCUUUAAGAGGCCAAUCUCUCCGGAAAAAAGAGAGCAGAAUAAAGUUAGUGAGCAGAAAAAGAAUUACAGCACUGUGAUAUGGUGUGUGAGUUCUGAGUAAAGAAAAGUGUGCGGGUUAUUGUUAGUUUUAUUUAUUAGUAUUAUUUUAUUUUUUGGGGCCAUGAGACACACAUAAUGAGAAAAAUUAAGGGUUUUCUAGGAAAAAAGGUUUUGGGUGAUACAGUGAAGAAUUAUAUCCAGAGUAACUCAAGAUCUCAGGUGAGCAAACUUAGAAUGAUUUUUUAACUUGUUUUAUAGGAGUGAAUUUAUUUGGAGUUGCAUCCCUGUUUUUUCACUUCAAAGAGAAGAGUAUUUUAGGUAAAUGUUUAUGUUAUUGUAUAUGAUUGGUCUAUUUCUUAUUUUUAGUUGGUAAUGUUGGUUAUAAAUAAUACUAAACAUCAAGACUCCAGAAGUAUAAAUUUAAAUAAAAUAUAUAAGUGUAUCCUAAGCUGCGAAAGAUCCAAUAUAAAGUCAAGAUUCUCUCUAAGAUAUGUAACUCUAGUAGAAAAAUCUAGUUCUAACAUACCCAAGGCCUACAAACUUGAAUAGCCCAACCCCCGAUAAAGUAACUAAUGUCCCAAGUUAACGACUAUGGUUCAAAAAUUAAAUCAUAGAUCAUUUGUAGAGUGAGUCUCAAGGAUUUCAAUUUCAUAGUGGAUGUUUUUGUUUGGCUAGGAGUAUGAAAUAUUUCAGUAUCAGUUAAUAAUAGGGUACUGUUUUUGAAGUUAUAUAUAUAAAAUUUAAAAUCCACAUAUUUUAUAGGCCCAAGUAACCUAAGUUCAUUACCUCAAUAUAUUACCUUGAAUAACAUGUUUAUAAUAAUUUUUAAAAUCUUUUAAUUAUAUGUAUUUUACUGUAUUGGUUGAAACAUGAAUACUAGCCUAAACACCUGAAAAAUCAUUGUUACCCAAUAUUUAAUGUAGUAUAUUUUAUAAGAAUACCGGUAUUAGUUUAACUUAGGUGCAGAGUAAUUCAUUCCUUCUCUUUCAUCAAUAAGAAUCACUUUUAUAUGAGUUCUUAGAGAGAAAGAGAGCAAAAGUUAGCAGAUAUCUCGUUUUCAAAAAGCCGAAUUAGAAUUUCAGUUAAAUUUAAGUAGUUUUCUAAAAAAUAAAAAGUGAAAAACCAUAUCCAAUAGUAUAGUCACCACCACUUCAAGUUUUCCUCAAAAGCCAUGCUUUCUUUUUUUGAAACUAAUAAUUCACUUUUACAUGCCCUAGGAUUUUGCCAAGCAAAUCGAGCUCGACUGUCUAGUUUAGUUCAAUUUUAGAGCUCCUUUUCUGAAUUGAACAUGCGGAACAUCAACGCUUACAUCCCUAAUUGGUUUGUGUUGACAGUUGACAGUUGACACAAAGAUUUUUGUAAUGUCUUUCUUAUAGGCCUGAGGCAGAGUUCAUCCGAAAAAUUGUUGACUGGAUAUUUAUUGAAUUGAGAGAUAAAUGUUCAACUGUUUAUGGAGAUGGUUUUGUUGGAAUAGACUCUCGUGUUGAGGAAAUGAUUUCAUGUCUAGAUAUGAAUUCAAAUGAUGUCCGCUUUAUUGGGAUAUGUGGGGAGAGUGGAAUGGGCAAGACAACUCUUGCACAUCUAGUAUUUGAUCAGAUUCAUCAUCAAUUUGAAGCUUGCAGCAUUCUCGAAAAUGUCGAAGAGGUUUCUAAAGCACACGGCCUAGAGACAUUACAAGAGCAACUCCUUUGUGAUAUAAGUAAAGGAGCUUUAAGGGUAAGGGAUGUGUAUAAUGGAAUCCAAGUAAUCAGGAAUGUACUACGUAAUAAAAAGGUACUUAUUGUUGUCGAUGAUGUGUUUGAAAAAAUACAGUUAGAAGCAUUAGUAGGGAAGCGUGAUUGGUAUGGUCCAAAAAGUAGAAUCAUAGUAAUUACUAAAGAUAUACAUUCAUUGGAAAGCAAUGAAAUUCAGACCGUAUAUAAGGCUAACAGACUAAAUGAUGAUGAAGCUCUACGACUUUUUAGACAUAAUGCCUUCCACAAAGCUCAUUGUGAAAAUGAUUUAUUGUAUUUGGGCAAUGAUUUUGUCACUUAUGCUCAAGGCGUUCCUUUGGUUCUUAAAGUUUUGGGUUCCCAUUUGUGUAAAAGAACAAAAGAGGAAUGGGAAAGUGCUUGGAAUCAACUAAAAGCAAUUCCCAAUGAAAAUAUUCUAGAGAAACUUCAAAUAGCAUAUAAUGGGUUGGAGGAGUUCGAGAAACAAUUAUUUUUGGAUAUUGCAUGUUUCUUCAAAGGGGAGGACCAGAAUCGAGUAGCUAAUAUACUAAAAUCAGUUUGCUACUCAGACAAUAAUAGAAGGAAGCUCAUUGACAAAUCUCUAAUUACUAUUGUAGGGGGGAAAUUGUGCAUGCAUCAUUUAAUACAACAAAUGGGUUGGAAAAUUGUUUCUGGCGAGUCAACAGAGCUUCGAUGUCAAAGUAGGCUAUGGCAUAGUGAUGAUGUCCUUGAUGUAUUAAAGAACUAUAAUGUAAGUGUAUUAUUAUAUAGAUAUAAAUUCAAUGCAGUAUGGAAUUCUACCAUUCAUGCAAGUUUUUGUUGUAUCUUGCCCUACACUAAUUUCAUUGCUCUUGGUUACUAGGGAAAAGAACAAAUUGAAGGCAUGGUGCUAAAUUUGCCUCCAAAUGAAGAACAAGAAGUAUUGAAUGUUGAGCCACUCUCAAAGAUGAAUAAAUUAAGAUUGCUCAAAAUUUGUAAGCUGCACUUUCCUUGUCUCAGUAAUCUUUCCAAUGAGCUACGUUUGUUGGAAUGGCAUGACUAUCCUUUGAAAUCAUUACCAAAGAGUUUCCAGCCUCCUGAACUUGUUGAGCUCAUUAUGCAUCGCAGCAGUAUUAAGCAACUUCCAAGUGAAUUUAGUGUAUGAUUUUCACUUAUGUAGUUUUAGUAAUAUUAUUAUUGUUGUUAUUAUUUAUUAUUAUUAUGUAUUGAUUGCUUAAUUUUCUAUAUUUACUUAUUUUUUUAUCUCAGAACUUACUCAAUCUAAAGCUCAUCGACCUUAGUGACUCUCAAAACUUAUGCCAGACUCCUAACUUCAAGGGAUUGCCAAAUAUUGAAAGGUUGAUUUUUCAAGGUUGUACAGGAUUGCAUGCGUUGCACGAUUCUGUUGGAGGUCUUAAACGGCUUAUCUUAUUAAAUCUAAAAGACUGCAAGCGUCUGGAGAACCUUCCACAUGAGAUCAACUUGAAUUCUCUUAAAAUUUUAAUUCUAUCUGGCUGUUCAAAACUCAAGAGGUUUCCAAAGAUUGGGAGAAACAUGACAAGCAUGUUGGAGCUUUCUUUGGACAAGACUGCCAUAGAAGAAUUACCAUCAUCAAUCAAGCAUCUAACUGGCUUGACUUUAUUGAAUCUUCAAGACUGCAUGAACCUUUCAAGUUUUCCAAGUGUUAUUUGUAGUUUGAUAUCUCUUAAAACUCUCAUUCUAUCAGGAUGUAAGGGUCAACCACCAAAAGCAAGGUAUUUGAGUGGGCUCAUCUCCCCUUUAUCCUCAAUCGGUGCCACCCUCACUCUUCCCUACACCUAUCUCACUGAUCGACAACCUGAACCAGAGCCCAUCAGUCUGGUGUUGCCUGAGUCAAUCUUGGGAUUAAGCUCUUUAGUAUCUCUAGAUCUAAAUGGCUUUAAUCUGUUGGACGGUGCUCUCCCUGAUGAUCUUAGCUACUGGUCCUCACUAACCAUUCUGAACUUGGGGAACAAUAGUGUUACACGCUUACCUUAUAGCAUUUCUCAGCUUUUAAAUCUCAAAAUUCUUUUCUUGGAUCAUUGUAGCAAGCUUCAAUCAUUUCCAUAUCUUCCAUUAAGUACACAAUUUGUUUCUGCACAAGGAUGUACUUCACUUGAAAAUUAUUCAAAUCAAGUUGUCGUUUGGACUUCGGGUGCAUCAAGAUUCACUUUUAUUAAUUGCCAUGGCUUGGCCGAUGAUAAAGGAGGCAUAAUUGCUGAUGUUACUUUGCAAAAUAUGCCCUUCCAAUCAUUGUGGCAAAGAUACAUGGAGGUCUAUCUCUCUCUCUCUCUCUCUCUCUCUCUCUCUCUCUCUUAUGUGCGUGCAUGCAUUGAACAUCUUUUUUACUUGUCUUUUAAUAUUUUACAGGGCCAAAUUCAUCAAGUUAAAGGCUUUUGCCUGGUUGUACCUCAAACUAAAAUUUCAGAGUGGUUCAAGAAUAAGGAGUGCGGGCAAUCUGUGCAAAUCCCAUUACCUCCUAAUCUCUUCAAUAAUAGAAGUUGGAAAGGGAUCGCUCUAUGUGUCAUUUUUGUAGUCCCUUCAAAUUUGAAAGAUGUUUCUCCUGGUCAGGAUUCAAAAUACUUUCAUGAAUUUAUUUGUCAUUUUGACAUGGAUGGCGUUUUUUUGAAUUGUCCCCUAGUCCUUCAGGUUCCUAAGGAAACAUUUGUUGGUUCAUUUGGACUUUGGCUAUACAUAUCACAUGCGAGGUUUACAGAACAUUCUGACGAAGGGAGUUGCAUUGGCUCUUUGAUUAGACCCACAAGACUGGAUAUUCAGAUUAAAAUGUGCGGUGCAUGUAUUCUAUAUGAGCAAGAUAUGAUAGAAUUUGUACAAAACUUAAGGCAAGAAAAUUUCAGGAGCUGUAAUGACCCCAGUCGAGGUCAUGAAAAAUUGAUAGAAGAUCAUCUGAGCAAUUCACGAGGCAAUGACCCCUGGCUAAAACAAAAUCUCAAGUCAUUGCUUUCAAGAUUGUAUCAGGUCUCUUCUUAUAUCUCAAGAANNNNNNNNNNNNNNNNNNNNNNNNNNNNNNNNNNNNNNNNNNNNNNNNNNNNNNNNNNNNNNAAAAAAAAAAAAGUGAUGUCAGCAGUGAACUCUUAUGAAAACUAAUAAAAACUUUUCAUUUAAGUUUAUUAAAAAAUUGUUGUGAAAAAGUUGUGCUAAAAGUACUACUCAUGAUUUUAAUUCUUUUAAUAAACAAUCAAUUAUCCCAUAUGAUUUUUUUAUUUUAUUUGUCUGUUUAUAAUAAAGUAUUACUAUUUUUAUUUUAUAUUACUCUUAAAUUAAACAAAUUUGCAAUAAAAAUGGAUUUAAUUAAUUUUUAAGAAUUCAAAUCAAAUGGGCCGUUAGGGUUUUUUGUACAAAGGUGGGCCUUUUUUAUUAGGAUCUAACCUAAUUGAUAAUUUAAGUUAGCAAAUGUUUGAUGAAGAAUUGGUGGCCUAACUAGAGAGUUAAGGCCUCUUGGAGCCUAGACUUAAUUAGGUUUAGGGGUAAUUGCAAAAAAUUCACUAGUAGUUUGAUCCGAAAUCACUUUGCCUACUCAUGGUUUAAAAAAUCUCACUUUAUCCAUAUGAGGUAAGCUCAGUUCGACUCUUGUAACCCAACUCUGUUAAAAGUGGGAGCAAAUUUGUAUUUUUGCCUCCUUCUAUAUCUCUCUCCUCUCAAAAACAAAAACAACAUACAAAAACAAGAUUUUUUUUUUAAAAAAAAAUGUCAUUUGUAAAAAUGGUAGAAAUGUGAUAAAGAACUUCAAGAACACAAAAUUGCAAAUGUAACUUGAAAAAUAAAUAAAUAUACCAAAUAAACACAAACUUUCUACCCUUUCUGUGACUCAGGUCUCUUCUCUUCUCUCUCUCUCUCUCUCUCUCUCUCUCUCUCUCUCUCAAAAUUGCAAAUGUAACUUGAAAAAUAAAUAAAUAAACCAAACAAACACAAACUUUCUACCCUUUCUAUGACUCAGGUCUCUUCUCUUCUCUUCUCUCUCUCUCUCUCUCUCUCUCUCUCUCUCUCUCUCUCUCUCUCUCUCUCUAUUUUUAUAUAUAUAUAUAUAUAUUUGUAUAAUAUUUAAAACCUGUUGUCAGCAUUUUUUGGCCGAUUUCUCUUUGUUAUAACCAUGCAUUAAAAAAAAUAGUUAAAUAUUCGAAGAGGUUUAGAUACUUUCAUUUCUAAAAUAAAACAAAAGAUCUAAAGUUAAAGCGUAACACAAAGUGUUACGCAUCAGUUGAGCCACAUAAGUGGCCAUGUCUUCAUUUUCUUUUCAUUAUUUUUAAAAAGAAUAUAUAUAUAUAUAUAUUAUUAUAAUAAUAAUAAUAAUAAUAAUAAUAAUAAUAAUAAUAGGUAAAAUUAAGAGCAAAUCCAAUUAGAUUUCAAAUUGGAAUUAAAUUAGAGCCUAAUUUUAUGCAUGUGUCCCAUCUAAUCUAAGUUUUUAAAUUUUUGUGCCAAGUUAAUUUAUUCAAUGUAAAAAUUAGAUUUUAAUUAGAGUUUAAUUUUAUGUCAUGUGUCCCAUCUAAUCUAAGUUUUUUUUAAUUUUUGUGUCAAAUGAGUUAAUUUAGUGUAAAAAACGAAAAGUCCAAUAUAAGUAAACCAUAAAAAAAUAUAAUUUUUGAAUGAUUUUAUAUUUAUGAGCCUUUGUUUAUAACUAAAAACAAUUCAAGUUUAUAAGUCAUAUAUAUAUAUAUAUAUAUUAAUAGCCAAAACUAAAAGAGAAUCCAAUUAAAUUCUAAACUGGAGUACUAUUUUGCGUCAUGUGUCUCAUCUAAUUUUUAAAUUUGUUUGUCAAGUGAAUUAUUAGGUGCAAAAGUUAAAGAGUCUAAAUUCAAUUAAAUUCUAAAUUGAAUUUUAAUUGGAGUUUAAUUUUGCGCAUGUGUUCCAUCUAAUUUUUUAAUUUUUGUGGCAAGUAAAUUAUUGAAUGCAAAAAUAGAAGAGUCUAGAUCUAAUUAGAUUCAAAAUUAUAUAUAUAUAUAUAUAUAUCUAUGUACGUAUGUAAUUGGAAUUGUUUAAUAAUUUAUGAAGAUUGAGAGAUUGAAGAGGAUGAAUCAUAGGAUAAAAGUAAGGUGGAUGAAGUGAAGAAGUCCAUUAAGAGUAUUGUGUGAUUCUAAAAUACAUACUAAGAUAAAGAGAAAAUUUUAUAAGACAUCUAUAAGACAUGCUUUAUUUAAUGAUACUAGAAGUUGGACUGUUAAGAAGCAACACAUUUAUGAAAUGAAUGUAAUCAAAGUUAAAAAUAUUAAGAUGGAAAAAUAGAAAAAAAAAAAAAAAAAAGGGAUGGGAUUUCAAAAGAGAAGAAUCACUUAAAGAUAAGGGUCUAUUGUUAAAUAGAUGACAAAAAAUUGUUUGAAAUGGUUUGAUUAUGGGUAGAGGGAAGCAAUUAAUGCACUAUUGAAAACAACUUAAGUCAAAUGGACAAAAUGAAGGUAGAGAAAGACAUAAAAUAAAGAGCAGUGAAAUAUAAAAAAACAUGUCAAUGAAGGAGGUAAUAGAGGUAUGAAUUUGGCUGGAAUACAAUAUUAGAAAAUAAUACAUGCGAUUGACCUUGACUAGUUUGUUAAAGAUCCACACAACCAAAUUCUAUCAUUAAGCCAAAUAAAUUUUUUUUUUUAUUUAUAAAUAGUAUAUUAUUUCAAAAAUAUAUAUAUAUAUAUAAUAUUUUAAAUCUAUGGCAUUCGUUUCAUGAUGAUUGCUUUUUAUUAUAUAACAAAGUUAGUUUUGGUGUAGGUAGGGAUUAUAUCCUAGAUAUUUUAUUUAAUGAUAACAGAUUUUGUAAAUUGAACUAACUAGAACCUCAAAUUCAGCAAAAUAAUUAAACAUACAAAUCAACACAAAAAUGGUCUAUAGUGCACUUAGAAACAACAAAUUUUUCGACACCUUAAGAAAUCAAGAAUUUUGAAACUUGGCAAUGUGAAAUCAAUUUCAAAUAAUUUUCACUUUGAAAGAACACAACAUCUAUAAAAAUAAUCCUUGAAUUAUAUGUACUUCAACUUUUAUGGUGUUCACCCUAUAAUGAUUACUCUUAUUAUCAGCCAAAAACACAAAUCAGUUUUUGUUAUAGGUAGGUUUUGAAAGCCUAAUAUUUUAUUUGAUGAUAAGAAUCUUCAAUAAUUGAGCUAAAUAGAUCCCACAUAUAUACUUCUCUUUAACUACAAUGAGUUUUCCUAUCUCUUAUCUGAAAUAAAUAAAUAAAUAAAUAAAUAAACUACAAUGAAUUCUUUUAUUCACUUUAGCAGUGAUUAUUACGAAGACUGCUAACUCCUUCAAUUAUUUCUAAAUGAUGUUAAUAACUAUAUUAUCACUCGCAAAAAAUAAAUUUAGGUAUUUAUUUUUUAUGUUAUUAAAAUCUAUCAAUCAUAUUGAUUGUGAUAUCAGUUUAUAAGCUCUAUAUAAUAAUAUCUUUAACAUUUUUCUUUCUAUAAACAAUAAAUUUUCAGCUUUGAACAUGGAUUUCAAACUAGGAUACGACAAGCAACUUUUUUGAGCCUCAUUUAUACUUACUAUCAAGGUUUUGAAAUACGGACCAGAUAGUACGAUACGACAGGGAAAACAUCGAACUGUUCAUUUUUGCGGUUCUUUUAGUCUCAAAAACCGCUCUAUGGGAAAAAAGUAGGGAACAGUGCGAACUGCGGUCAGACCUCAAGGUUCUAAGAACAGUGAUCAGAUCGCUUCUCCCGAUUCCCUACUUCCCUUUAAAUCUGAACCUUAAAAAAAAAAAUUAAAUAAAUAAAUAAAACACAAAAAACAAGCUUUAAAUUCUGCUCCCUUCAAAGUACAUCACGCAACUCCCUUCAGAGUAGGGGUGAGCAGUGACCGAACCUCACCGACAAAACUGAUCCUCAUAGACCAGACCAUACCAAGCUUUAGGCUGCUUGAACGAGCCAAUGCCGGUGAACGGAACUUAAUGACCUUUCCGACACCAAUGCAGUGACACAGUCAGAGUUGAUUUUCAAAACCGACCCAUAUAUAGAAAUAAAAUUAAGGGAAAAAAGAGAAAAACAUUCUUAGUAAAUUACUAGAAAGAAAUCCUACUUAUGGCCCCCAACACAGAAGGUAAUAUUUUUUUGGUAGAUUACAUCUUAGCGUUGCCAUUGAUGUUUUAGUCUUCCGAUUCUAUAUUAGAGAGAGUAGAGUUGUAAACUUAAAAACUAGUGAAGAGAAAAGAAAAGACUGAAAAGUAGAGAACAAUAAGGUAAACAGAUAAGAUGAAAAGAAAGUGGAGGUAGGUGGGAUAUUAAAUGACAAUGCCACGUUUUGAUUUCUAAGUUAUUCAACAUUUUUUUUUUCUUUUAUUUAGUUUUAUAAAAAUUAGAGUGCCACGUUGAUUUGAAAAUAUAAAAACAGAAAAUCACUACACGUUAUUUUUUUUGAUAAUAAGUCCAUAGUUAACAGAAAAAAGAAAAGAAAAGAAAAUAAAAAGAUAAUAAGAAUACUCCUCUCUUAAGUUUAAUUAAUUUAUUUAUAUUUUAAAUAAUUAUUAAAUCAAUUAUGAAGUCAUUACGGUUUGACCCUGAUUUAACAUUGGUUCGACAUUAAAAAUCUUAAACCUCUACUUUUUACGGUUCAAUAAACGGUCAGGGUUUCAAAACCUUGUUUAAUAUCACACAAAACUUGGAUUUUUUUAUUUUUUUAGCCAUUUAGCUUGAUUUUGCUAACAAUUUUGUUAGUUGACAAAUUUUGCAAACAUAUUUGUUUAAUAACAUCUCGAAUCUUAGAGAAUUGAGAUCAAUGAUAGAACUUGAGUCUUAGAGACUCGAGUUCUAAGGUGUCAAAAUCUUAUGCGAAAAAAAAAUAAUAAUAAAAAAAAUAAUUAAAAAAAAAAAAAACCACGUGUUACUUGAGUCUUCCCUAAGAACCAAGUCAAUCCUUCUUCUUUUCUCUAAUCCUCUCUUUUUGGAACGAUCUCUUCACUUCUCCUGAUCUGCUUUCAUAAUUUGUUCUUCUUCUCCAAAUAUGUAACUCUGCCUUUCUUCUUUGUACUUGGACACUUUACGGAACUCGAGUCUUAGAGACUCUACUUCCACAUGGAUAACAACCUACAUCAGCCUCUACCAGCACUUGGAACCUGAGACUUGAAAGGCUUGAGAUUUUUCCAGGACCACCACAAGUCCAUUAGUUCGUUCAAUUGCUGUUUUCUGCAAAGUGAAAUCCCGAAGCGGUUCACCAAACAGAAUAACAGUCAUUCAGUGGGAAUUCCCCUACUUUCAAAUUUGUAUAACAGACCUGAAUGGAUAGGAUUUGCAGUUUCUUCUAUUUUCUCAUUUCAAAAGAAUCUGACUACCGCUAGUAUGAAACAAGGUUCAGGAUUUUCUCAUAUGGUCAUUUGUCAUUUGAAGACCAACUUGGGUUGCAUGAAUCCAUUACUUUAUUAUCGCAUCAGGGAAGAGGACGUAUUAGCUUCGAUAUAUCAAUGUGAAUUCUGUUGGGAAUCAAUCAUACAACGUCGGUUACUCUCACCAGAAUGGAGUAAAUGCACUUGGGUUGAAUUCUCAUUUAUAAGCGAUACUUUGGAUGUGUCGGCGCUGAAGUGUGGGGUCGAACUUGUCUUCCAGCAUAAUUUGGAAGAGUUUACACUGGCACAAUGCAUAACCUCGUACAAUGGUCCUUCCACCUCGAAUGAAAUAUUGCCCUUCACUGGUCAUGAUAAAUUCAGUGACAGUGAUAGCCACGAGGACCAGACGAAUGGAACUUCUAGCCAGUAUUCUUAUGAGGGCACGCACACUCGCUGUCAGCUGUAUCAAACUGCCGCGAAGGUAUGUUUUCUAUACUGUUUGAGCAAAUAACAUUAUCUUUAAAGAAAAACUUGAUUUAUACCUUUGAGGUUGGGUUCCCACUUCAAAUAGCAUUACUUUAUGAUCUAUAUUAAAAUUUUAUACAACCAUGCAUCUUAUAUUCAUCGAGACAAGAAAAACAAAAAUGGAAAGGAUUAUUGUAACAUCUUUAUUUUUGGAUAAGAAAUUACAAAUUUUUUAACAUAAAUUUUAUAAAUUGAUUUGUCAAUUUUUUUUUAAUAUUAUACAUUACAAACCUAAUAAGAUGAAUGUGCAUGAGUAAUGUUGCUUUAAUAAUAUAAAUAAUAAAUGUUAAAUUUCCUAGUUAUGAUUAAUGUUACAUCAGAUUAAAAACUCUAACAUUAAUCCUUUUUAAUAACACAAAAAAAUAAUUAAAAAAUAUAUUUAUAUUAUAUUACUGAUGUGAUACCAUCAAUCACAUUUACUACCACCAUAGUUUUUAAGGUUUUGUUAUAUAUUAGUCAGUGGUGACCUUAGAAAAUUUUUUUAGGGUGCUCAUCAAAAAACUUAAAUUGAAAAAAAUAAAAAUAAAACUUGAAUAUAUUAAAAUCACAAAAAAAAGCCAUGCGCAAAUAUAUAAUUUUUAAAAUUUCAUUUCAUAAGUUUUUAUAUUUUCAAAUCAUUGUGUGAUAUGAUAGCUUCACUAUUAAUGUUAUUAGUUACAUAUUUUUCAACGUACACAACCAAGUAAUCAUUAAACUAUUGAUUUCUCAUUCAAUUACCAACAUAUUGCCUAAAUACGUAACAAUGUAAACAAAACACAUUAUCUUUUUGAAAAAAAAAGUAUCACAUUAAUUUAACAAAUUCAGCUAAAAACUAAAGCAAGCACUAACAGACAAGUUAUUGGAAAAGUAUGCAUUUUUUAUAUAUAAAAAAUAGCAAUUUUAAAAUAUUUCCUUUGAAAAAAAAAUUUUAAAAAUCACAAUUAAACAUUUGAUUUGGGUUUUUAGACUAAUUUGUUUGUUUGGAAAAUUUUUGUAAAAUGCUACGCCCACAAUAUUUUUAUACACUUUCACAACAAAACUUAGAUAUUAAGUUUUUACUGGUUCUAAUUUGAACCUACCAUUGCAAUUAUUCUUUUGUCCAUCAGUAAUACACUGCUAUUUAGGAUUUGUUGCAAAAUGUUGUAAAGAUGACAUUAUUCGCAAUUUUUUGGUUCAACAUUCAACGAACCAAAAUUUUGGAGAUAUUGAAUUUUAAAAUGGGCUCAAAGUUUUAUUUAGGGUGUUCAAUUUUUUUUUUAAGGGUGAUCAAGUUUUUUUUUUUUUUGGGUGGUCAAAGACCCAUAUUAUUUUAAAAAUCAAUUUUUUUAAGGUAUAUAUAUAUAUAUAUAUUCAAGUUGGGGUAGUUAUGUAACCAUCUUGAUAAACACUUGGCGCCACCCCUAACAUUAGUAAUGCUUGUGGGGGUGUGAGAAGUAAGGAUUAAGAUUCAAGUCUCUAAGAGUAAGUUUCAUAUAAAUAUACAUUUAGAUUUAAUUAGAGUAAAAUUUUAUCUUAGGGCAAAUAAUAAUAAUAAUAACAUUAAUAAUAAUAAUAAUUAAAAAUUUUAUUAAUACCUAAACUAUAGUUUUUGCCAAGUGCAUUUUUAUGAACUAGUUUGUACAAAAGAUAAAUACCACCAAACCAAACAAAGCAUUAUAAAAUAUUAUUUUCAACACUAAAUAUAUAUGAUUACCGCUCUCUCUAAUUGCACGCUGUUUUUCUCUUUUGCAGGACUUUCAUCCAUCCUCUUCGUAUAAUUGUUGUUUCCCUCCAAGUAAAUUUCAAGACUGGUUCAGUCAUCAGAAUCAUGGGCACUCAGUGACAAUGGAUCUGCCCUCAAAUUUGUAUCACGAUAGUAAUUGUAUGGGGCUUGUUCUAUAUGCAUCUUUCUCAAUUCAUGGGGAUCCAAACUUCAUCCUUAGCCAUUUAAAUUCAGGAAAAUCUCACUCCCUAUAUUGUCAAUGCCAAAUGAGUAUGACUAAUGUCGAUGAUCAGACAAUUGCUUUCUCCACCAGUAAAGAAGAAAUCACGUGGUUACUUGAGCUAGGUGAAUUCAUUUGGAUAUCCUACGUACCAGGGGAGCCAUUCAAGAAUAUGUUGCAACACUGCAACCACAUUAAGGCUUCAUUUGUGAGUGACUGGCCAGGCGUGAUAGUGCAGAAAUGUGCAUUACAACUUUUGUACCACCAAGAAGAUGAUAAAAACCACAACAAAUGUAAAUCUGAAGCGCAACAACAAAUCUACUCUUCCAAGCUCCCUCAAACUCUCAGCCAAGUCCACGUCAGCCCUCCUCCUCUUUCGGCUACGGCUACGGCUACGCAGCGCGAUCGAGCCGUGCGUGAAGCCGUUGAUAGGGUCUUGGCUAUGGCGACUAAGGGAAAAAGAAGGUGGAGCUAUGCCUUCUUAACGAACUGGCGAAGGCGGAAGUUCCAAAAGAAGCAUAGGAAGCAGCAAAGAGUGGUGAGUGCCACCGGGACUAGCCGGUCGCCCAAGAAGCAUAAAGUGAGCGUUUUGAGGCUAAAGGGGAAGAGCUUGCUGGCUGUGAAGAGCAAAAUGCGUGUUUUGAGCCGGGUAGUCCCCGGUUGCCGGAAACUAUCCUUGCCGGUGAUUCUAGAAGAAGCUACCGAUUAUAUAGCCGCGCUUGAGAUGCAAGUCAGAGCCAUGACCACCCUCGCCAACCUUCUCUCCGGCUCCUCCUCCUCCUCCGCCAGCUCUAGCUCCGCACCGCCGCCUAGCUGAUCACACUUUUCUCUACUGCCACGUGUCCUUUCCAUUAUCUCUCUCUUUUUUCUUUUUUUCUCUUUUCUCCUCCCUCUCAAAUAUCUCCAUUAAUUCUCUGUUAAAUACGAUGUUGCCUUUUUCUCUUGCAAGUAAAAUUAAAAAUCUUUUCAUACUACCUGGAAAUAAUUCUUUUUUUUUUUUUUUUUAUACAUAUAUAAUUUUUCGUUUUGCUAUAAUUAAUCAAACAUGGGAAAUUAAUUAUUAAAUAUUUUCAUUGAAAAUAUUAGAAAAUGUAAACUGAGUUACUGGCAAAUCAAAACCUAGCUAUUUCUUAACUUAAUUUUGUGACAACAUAGCCUACUAGAAAUCUCAUUGAUCGACAAUCUCAACCAGAGCCCAUCAGCCUGUUUUUGCCUGAGUCAUUCUCAGGAUUAAGCUCUUUAGUAUCUCUAGAUCUCAGUGAUUGUAAUCUGUUGGACGGAGCUCUCCCUGAUGAUCUUAGCUACCUAUCCUCACUAACAUCUCUGAAUUUGAGGAAAAAUAAUUUUACAUGCUUACCUGAUAGCAUUUCUCAGCUUUUAAAUCUCAAACUUCUUUACUUGGAUCAUUGUAGCAAAGCUUCAAUCAUUGCCAUAUCUUCCAUUAAGUACACAACUUGUUUCAAAUCAAGUUGAUCCUCCAAAUUCAAAAAAAAAAUUCUCCUCAUCAGGAUUCAAAUUACUUUCAUGAAUUUAUUUGUCAAUUAGACAUGGAUGGCAGUUUUUUAAAUUGUACCCUAGUCCUUGAGGUUCCUAAGGAAAUAUUUGGCUAUACAUAUCACAUACAAGAUUUCCAGAACAUUUUAAUGAAGGGAGUUGCAUUAGCCCUUUGAUUAGACCCAAAAUGCUGGAUAUUCAGGUUAAAAUGUGUGGUGCACGUAUUCUAUAUGAGCAAGAUAUGGUAGAAUUUGCACAAAACUCAAGGCAAGAUAAUUUCAGGAGCUGUAAUGAUCUCAGUCGAGGUCAUGAAAAAUUGAUAGAAGAUCAUAUGAGCAUUUCACAUGGCCCUGACCCUAGGCUAAAACGAAAUCUCAAGUCAUUGCUUUCAAGAUUGUACCAGGUCUCUUCUUAUAUCUAGGAAGCUCUAUUUUAGCUAAAAAUUUAUAGGUUUAGGUCCAUAUUAAUUCCUCAAUUUAUCUCCUCUUUUCUCUUUGUGAGACUUUCAUUCGCACUUGUUUAUCUAUCAACAUGUCAACUCAAUGGUUGUAAAAAAAAAAUGUUAAAAUUUUUGUCUCUAAACUUAUUAUUUUUUAAUCUGUUUUUCUCUCUCACCAUUCUGUUGAACAUUGAUCGCCGUACAUUUAUGUAUUUUACAGGUAGAUUGGGCACAAAACCAUUUGUAUGAUUAGAGAUCUUUUUCUCUUCUGCAUCGAAGUAUGAGCAUCAUUUCAUUUCAGUACAUAAAGUAAAAAGGAGUAAGCUAUUCAGAAAAGGAAAACAAAAUUAAAGAUUUCAUAAUAAAGAUAGUAUAUUUGGAUUCCCCAUCUCCCUAGAGAAAAUUAUUUAAUCCAACAAUAGAGAGUGCAGUGCAGACUAAUAAUCAGAGAGGUAAUAAUUUUUGAAUAAUAAUCCCCAUCAUCAGCCAUCAGAUGAUCCAUUGCUUCAUGUCUUUUUCUUAAAAUCUUGAAUCAAUAUAUAUUUUUUUUUCAACAAACAAAAUCAUUCUACCUUUUACUGUUUAAAAUUAUAAAACCACACAAUCCCCAAUCUCUUGUCCUGUCACCCAUUCAAAGUUUCAAAUACUUCCCAAGAAAAGCCAAACAGUUUCAAGAUUGUAUCAGGUCUCUGUUGAACUAAAGAGAACAACUCAUACUGAAGAGAACAAAAUUUAUUUCACAAUAUUGACAAGUUGAUAGCACACUUUUACAAAGACACAAAUAACACUUGCUUAGACUCACAUGGCUCUUUAUUUUUGCCUUUGCACUUCUCCACUUAUUUACCUUUUACAAGACGCAUCAACUCGAAUAAAUAUAUAUGCACUCACCUCACUUCUAGAAACUUCCACACACUAGCUCUUGACUUUCUUUUCUUCACUUCACACACUUCACCUCACUUCACUUUACACAAGUAAUUCACACAAGUGGGAACCAAGGCUUCUAGCUUCAUUUAAGUUUCUGCCAGUACAGUUCUAGUAGUUUCUGGGCAUUAGCUUAUUAUUUUUAAUUUCUAACCCAUGACAACUUCUAGAGUAUUCUUCUUUUUUUCUUAGUAGUUUCAAUUCUACAAUCUUCUAGGCUCUAGCUUAUUAUUUAUUGACCAAAUCAACUUCAAGAAUGAUAGGCCAAAAACAUAUUGACCUCUUGUGAUUAAAUUAAUUAAUUAAUUAAUUAAUUAAUUAGCAAAGUUAUUAAUUAAUCAAUUUAACAUGCAAACGCGUGGUAACACAAACAAAUCACCAAUAAACUAAUUAUGCAACGGAAAAUAAAUAACACAGUGAUUUGUUUAUAAAUAAGGAAAACCUGACGACAAAAACUCUACUGGGUGAUUUUCAGGUCACCACUCCCGAAACUCCACUAUUAUCACAACAAGCAGUUACAAGUAACAGAAUCCCAAGUACCUUACCAACCUACAGUUGAACCCUUACCCCAAUACCCAAUUGGACUUGUUUUAUAGUGACAGUUCCUCCUUUUUGAUGCACGGCUACCAAGUACGUGACUAACCAAUUGCGUGGAUCUCAGUAUGCGACUUCAAUCACAAACUAGAGAAAGUUUGUUGGCUGCAAAGUUCUUCAGAUCAUCCCAACGAAAACGAUAAAGAAGAUGCUUGGUAACAAAACCCUUUGGUGUAAAUACAAAACAACUUCUUCAAUAUUAAUGAACUAGGUCAAAACUUUGUCUCAGGUCACAAUUUGCUUGAAUAUAGUUUUUUCAAUACUUGUGCAACUUGUGAACACAUUGACGGCCCUGAAAACAAUCCUUUUAUAUGUCUAGGGUUAGGAGAAAAAAAGGCCUAAAGACACAUCCACAGAUCCCAAGAAAUCAAAUCAGAAAUUCUGAUUUUAUAAACCUCGACAAAUAGAAGGUGUCGAGCAGCUGUCGAGCAAGUGUCGAGACACGGGCUUGAGACAGCUUCUUAAACCUUGACACUUGCAGCUGUCGAGAAUCUGUCGAGAAGCUGUCAAGUUUUAAUGACUUUGCACUUCUUCAAUUUGUUUCUUGGACAAACUUGAUGACUUCAACACUUGAUCUUGAAACCUUAUUUCUUGAAGUAUUAAAAACACCUAGUGCUACCAAAUUACAAGUUGAGUGCGUUUUGUCAAAAGAUUAGCCAAUUACAUAAAAUAAUGACAUACGUUCUUAACAAGAGAACCACAUAUGUCCUAAUAAUCUCCCCCUUUGGCAAUCUAUGACAAAAUCACAACAAGCAAAUGAGAUAUGAGAGAAGUCAUAAAUCGCUCAACUCAUAUUCACUUGUUUAAUACAAUAAAAUCUAUCAUAAUCACAAACUCUAGAAAAAUUUUGCAAGAAGAGAAUUUACGGCAAGUAGACUUUGACAAGCUAUAUUUCUGAAACGCUUUAAACAAAACUCAUCAAGACAUCUUAGUGUGAAACAAAAAUAAUAGAUUGCAUACAUAUAUAAGAAGCAUGUAUAUGAAGAGAGAAAAGAAACAACACAUGUAAGAUAGGUGAAAGAAACAUACAUCAACAUAUAAGAAAGAUAAAUACAAUGUAUAUAAAAAAAUGAUCACAAGACCAAAUAUAUAAGAAUAAUGUAUCUAUAAUAGAAAGAAAAGAAAAGAUAUAUCAUAUCCUCACUACAUCCCUCAAGUAUCAACACUCCUCCUAACAAAAAUGUCAUAUACUAACUCUCCCCCUAAAAUGACUACUCUUGUAUCCCAAAAUUACUCCCCCUUUUUGUCACGAGUGACAAAGGGUAGAGUGUCAAGUAGACAUCUCAUCAGUAGAGCUAGCAUCUCCAUCAUCAUCAUCCGAAGCAUCAUUGUCAUCACCAUCAUCAUCAUCAUCCUCAGUAUCAGAAUCAAAAGUCACUGAAAGAAGUGGUGAAGGAGUAGCCUCAGAAGCAUAGCCACCCAUGGCUACCUGCCUACGUGUAAUAAGACCAACACGAACGUUCACCUGAUACAACUCCGUAGAGAGUGUAUCUAGGUGAGCAUCCAUGCACUGCAACUGCGUCAUGAUGUCUCUAAGAGAUACAUCGCCCAUAGUAGAAGAGGGAGCAGAUGUAGAUGGAGCAGACCAAGAGGGUGUCGAACGAGAUGGAGUCAAACCGGAGGGAGGAGCUGCUUACUCCUGUGUUGACCUAAACUGAGCCUUACUACGUUUUACAGUAGCGGCGUCUGUGGCACACAUGACAGAAAAGUGAUUAGAAGAGGGAAAAGGAAUAGAAAAGUGGCGUAGAAUCCUCGUGAUAGCUGAAGGGAGGAUGAGCUUAUCAUGGGUAGUCGUAUCCCUAAACACAUCUAUGAUGGAAAGAAUGAAAUGUGAAGGAAAAUCUAUAUUAAGGUGCUCUAACAAAGAAAGCAAGAAUCGAGCACGAGGCUUUGUGAUAGAUAAAAUCAUCACCAUGUUCAUGAAUCUAAAACCUUUAGCAAAAGGCCGACAUGGUGUAAACUGACGCUCACCCCAAACAGAUGGGUGCUCAUAGAAAGCAGACAUCAUCUCGUCUUUAGACAUAGUCCUCAGACGCUUACAACCAGGGUAGUCAGGAUGGUCUAUCCUCGGAACAUGAAAAACAUCCGCAACAAGCUGUGGUGUGACAGCAAAAUGCGUACCUCGAACGCGAGUGUGAAAGAGAGGUACUGAAGAAUCAAUCUCGUGCAUGUUGGAGUAAAAAUCCUGAAUAAGCAUGAGAGGACAAGUGACUGGGACGUCACACAGUGACUCCCAUCCCCGACUGUAAAUAACAUCGAGAAGGUCAGUGUCGACAAAGUCCGCCAAAAUGACUUGGUGUUCCGAAUGAACACCUCGUCAAGAAAAGUUCUUCAAGUAUGCCUUUCGGGCAUCCUCAUCAUGGAACUGAAGGUUAGAAGGAGUAGGAUCAGAAGAAGACGAUGCCUCCGGAACGAAGAGGGUUCCGAGACGGAGCAAACUUACGUUUAGGUGCCAUAGACACGACUAACAUAAACAGAGAGAGAGGGAGAGAAUGAGAUAAUCAGAAAAGUUCUAAAAACAUAUCAAGAUAUAUUGAAAAGAGUACGUAUGCAUGAAAAUGCAUGAGCAUGUGACAUGCAAAGUAAAAAGCAUCAUGGGCUCAACCCAAUCCAAUCCUACUAGCAUACAAGCAUAUUACACACAUCUAAAUGCAUGAAACUACUAUUAUAGUGCACAUGUGAUGCAAUAUAUGAGGUUUUAAACACAUUUAAAUGAAAACCCAACCCAAAAUUUCAAACAAAAACUCAUCAAUUUUGAAAAACUCCAAAAUUUUUCAAAAAAGGUUUCAAAUCAUGAAAUACAUGAAGAAUGAAGAGAUAGGAAGCUUACCAAGUGAAGAAAAACCUGAGGAAGCUUGAAGAAACCUUGAGGAGCAAGAUUUGGAGUGAUAUGAGAGUGUUUGGGAGAGAAAACAAAGAGCUAUCGAGAGAGAGAUCGAGAGAAAUGAGGUUCGAAUCGCAUGAGAAGCUUAAAUAGAAGCCUCAAUAAAUCUCGACAGAUGAGGUGUCGAGGGAUCUGUUGGGGUAGGUGUCGAAGAAAAAAUCGUCGACAGCUGAAGGUGUCGAGGAGGUAUCGAGGGAUAAAACACCAAAUUAAAGACAGAAUCUCGAUCGAUCGGCCAGGUGUCGAGAAUCUAUCGAGGAGGCAGGAAAUUUUUCAAUUGAAAUAAGAAACAGCUUGAAAAGCUCGACAGACAGCAAGGUAUCGAGAAGGUGUUGAGACAGCUUUUAAAAACAGUUUUUCGAGAAGAGAAAAAUAUAGAUAUGAAUGCAAUCCAAUAUGCAACACAACCAAUAAUCCAAACAACAUAUUAAGCUCUCAAAAUCAUCUAUCAAUAGGAAUUUUAAGCAUAUGGAUCCUCAAACACACACACACACUAAACAUGUCUGGCCGAUUUUUAUAUUUCAAAAAACAAGUUAAGACAGUUUAGUGAGCAUAUAUUAGCACAUGUAAAACCUUGUGAUGGCCAAAUCACAUUGUACCUACACACGUAUCAAAAGUAGCAAAGAAUAUUACGUGUUGUGUGUGAAAAACAUCGCAAGAUUGCAUAUGUGUAUGCAUGUUAUGACGAUUUGAGAUAUGAAAAAAUUACUUUAACUCACACACAAUCAUAACUAUUUGAUGGGGACUAUCACCUUCAAAAUACAUCUUAUAACUCCCACAUCUCCUAGAAUACAUGCUUGCAAUUAUAUUUAAAGCAUUUUUUAUCUUUUUGCUUCUUUUUUUUUUUUGCAUAUUUUCUUUUAUUUAGCAUAUCAUGUAUGGGCAUAUAAGAGAGAGAGGGAGAAAAUACCCAAGAUGUUACGCAUUUGACACUGCACUUUUGCUAUGUCGAAGCAUACGAGUGUCUUUGACACUGCACUUUUGCUAUGUCGAAGCAUAUAAGUGUCAUAUUAUGAUUGGCAGGUAACAGUGAUGAGAUAGUUAUUUAUACCUUUCUCUUAGGAUUUUCUAGUUCUUUCCGUCAAAAAGAGUGAUAUGAGUGUUAAGUUCAAGAGAUAACUUAAUCUUACUCAUCACACAUAAGAGCCACAAAGCUCACUUACUUAGUUGUUCAUAGAAAUGUUCAUCUAAGUUAUAAAAUAUACAAAAUUUAGAAAACUUUGUUUCAAUGGCCAUUCAAGGUACACAAGUACCAAAGUACACAAAACACACACUGUUUUUGUAUUUUUCUGAUUUUUCAAUUUUUUUUAUAUUAAAAACAAAAUAAACAAAACUGAAAACAAACAAACAAAAACAUGUUAAAUAAGGCAAAACAUAAAACUAGACUGACUAAAAAAAAAUACAAAACACACAAGUAAUGCAACAAACAAAAACAAGAAGAUAGAAGAAAGUGAUAAAAAUCACUUAGAGUCCUUUUUCUUUCACACCUUAGAAGAACUUUUCCUUUGAUUAAACCCUUGAACCAGUGGUGAGAGGUAAGAAUUGAAACCAUUCAAGUUUGAAAGGAACAUGAGAGUUUUAAGAAGAUCACCAAGAGGAGCAAGAGAGGAUUGAAGUUGAUUCUGGCUUCCAGAUGUGAUCAUGACGUUGCUCUGUUGAGUGGCUAACCACUUAUAGCAAUUUGGUCGAGUAUGACCGACAACUGCACAAUGAUGACAGAGAUGCUGCUUCUUCUAUUUGGGCUUUUGAGAGUUAACCUUCUUAGCCUUAGAGUUCCUAACAUCUUUCUUAUUCUACUUAGGGGGUAUUCCUAAGAUAGAUUUACCCUUGUCUAAGUUCUCACUAGCUAAUUCAGUUUUAACAUCAGUGUUCUCAAUUUCAAUAUUAUUAGCAGGAGGAACUAACAUAGUAGCACUAGUAGAAGCAAUAUUAGAGGAAGAAAGACCAUACCCUAAACCUAUUCGAUCCGAAGCAGAUUUCUGAAUGCUAAACAUCUCAGCAAGCUUUGAACUUGAAAUCCUCUCCAACUAAGCUCUGACUUGAAACAGUUCCGCUUCAUGCUUCUUGGUCUUUUCAGUCAAGAAAUUGUUCUCAAACCUCAGUGCACCAAUUGUUUGAUUAGCUUUAUCAAACUUUGUGGAAAGCUCUUCACGAUCAAGUUCCACAUCACUGAGCUUCUUAGUGGCCAGCCUAUACAGUUUCUCAUGCUUCUCAGAGAGCUUGUAAAAUUUCUCAUAGGCUGUAUAGAUAUCAUCUUGAUUGUCCAUCUUCUCAAAUUUGGACUCCACCAGUUCUUCAACAAUCCCUUUAGUAGAAUUAACUGUGGCAGUGAAGGCAUUUAAGAUUCCGUUAUCCUCAUUUUCGGAAUCAUCUUCAAGCUCAGUGUCACUUAACGUAGCAGCAAGUGCCUUGCUUUUCCCAAUGCUCUUGAGAUAUGUGGGACAUUCUUGCUUCACGUGACCGAAGUCAUGGCACCUAAAACACUUAGGUCCUGUGGGAACAGUGUACUGAUCGCCAUCCCUUGCAUCCUUCUUCCCUUUGUCUUGGCUUUUGAACUGAAAAGAGUUGGAUUGCCUACGGUCCUUGUUGAAGUUCCUCCCAUUGGCAUUCUUCAUAAAUUUCUUGAAUUGCCUUAUAAUGUAGGACUUCAUCUUGGAAUCUUCAUCAUCGAAAGACUCAUCUGUGUCACUUCUUUUUUGCCUUCAAGGCCAUACUCUUGCCUUUACUCGACUUGCCAAUCCUAGAUAACCCUAGCUCGUAGGUUUACAAGUUUCCAACCAACUCAGUCAAAGGAAUCUUAUCAAUAUCCUUUGAUUCUUCUAUCGUUGUAAUCUUGGCAUGGAAUCUCUCGGGUAGAGAUCUGAGCACCUUCCUCACAAUCUUGGGUUUAGGAAUAGUUUUACCAAGAUUGAAGGAUGAGUUCAUUAUGUCUUUGAACUUGGCAUAGAACUCAUCGAACGACUCAUCCUCCUCCAUCUUUAUUUCUUCAAAGCUUGUAGUGAGCCUUUAAAGUUUUGAAUCCUUGACAGCCUUUGUACCUUCAUAGGUUGUCUGGAGAAUGGUCCAUGCUUCCUUAGUAGUUUCUGUGGAGGAUAUCUUCUUAAACUCCUCAUUGGUGACUACACUGAAUAAGGCAUUCAAUGCUCUGCUGUUGAAGUUUACCGCCUUGAUCUUGGUUUCAUCCCAAUCAGCUGACGCUUCUUUUGGCUUGGUCCAACCAAUCUCUACAACUUGCCACACCUUCUCAUCUAAAGACGACAAGAAAACUCUCAUGCGUACUUUCCAAUAUGCAUAGUUAGUGUCAUCAAAUAAAGUAGGUAUAAUUAACGACUGUCCUCAAUCCAUGACAAACAGGGGUUAAUGGAUCAACACAAUAAAGAUUAAACUUAAUCAGAGUAUGCCUGGUCUGAUACCACUUAAUAAGCCAAAAAUGUAUUGACCUCUUGUGAUUAAAUUAAUUAAUUAAUUAGCCAAGUUAUUAAUUAAUCAAUUUAACAUGCAAACACAUGGUAAUACAAACAAAUCACCAAUAAACUAAUUAUGCAGCGAAAAAUAAAUAACACAGUGAUUUAUUUACUAAUGGGGAAAACCUGACGGCAAAAAUUCCACCGGGUGAUUUUCAAGUCAUUACUCCCGAAACUCCACUAUUAUCACAACAAACAGUUACAAGUAAAGGAAUUUCAAGUACCUUACCAACUUACAGUUGAACCUUUACCCUAAUACCUAAUUGGACUUGUGCUGUAGUGACAGUUCCCCCUUUUUGAUGCACGACUCCCAUGUACGUGACUAACCAAUUGCGCGGAUCCCAGUACGCGACUUCAAUCACAAACUAGAGAAAGUUUGUUGAUUGCAAAGUUCUUCAGUUCAUCCCAGCGAUAACAAUCAAGAAGAUGCUUAGUCACAAAACCCUUUGGUGUAAAUACACAGCAACUUCUUCAAUAGUGAUGAACUAGGUCAAAAUUUUGUCUCAGGUCACAAUUGCUUGAACAGAGUUUUCUCAAUACUUGUGCAACUUGUGAACACUUUGACGGCUCUUAAAACAAUUCUUUUAUAUGUCUAGGGUUAGGAGAAAAGAAGGCCCAAAGACACAUCCACGGAUCCCAAGAAACCAGAUCAGAACUUUUGAUUUUAUAAACCUCGACAGAUAGAAGGCGUCGCGCAGCCGUCGAGUAGGUGUCGAGACACGAGCUUGAGACAGCUUCUUAAACCUCAACACAUGCAGCUGUCGAGCUUUAAUGACUUUGUACUUCUUCAACUUGUUUCUUAGACAAACUUGAUGACUUCAACACUUGAUCCUGAAACCUUGUUUCUUGAAAUAUUAAAAACACCUAGAACUAUCCAAUCACAAGUUGAGUGCGUUUUGUCAAAUGAUUAACCAAUUACAUAAAAAUAAUGACAUAUGUUCUUAACAAGAGAACCACAUAUGUCCUAACAUAGAACAAUAGUCAAAUUGUGGCUCUACAAAGUAAUGUCUAUAGAUUUCUAGAGAAUAAGAGAAAGAAAGAGAGGCGAUGCUUGAUGUUUAACAAUCUCUUCCUAUACCUCACCAAACUCUAUAUUUUUGUAUUUGAGUAAUGCUUGGACAAAAAAUAUUCGUAAUGUGGUUGGCAUGUUAAGUUGUGGAAUCAACAUUAUUUUCACAUUAACUUACUAUGGACAUCAUUUUUAUUAGCACCUAUAUCACAGUAUAUAUUCUGACUCAGUGGUUGUGAAAAUUCCUGUGUCUUUGAACUUAUUGUUUCUUUGUAUAUAUUUUGUCUCAUUGAACGUUUGAACACCAUAUGUUUAUAUAUUUUACAGGUAGAUUAUGCACGGAACCAUUGGUAUGAUUAUAUCUUUCCUCAGAUUACAAUUCCACCGAACUGGUUCACUUAUCAAAGUUUUGGGCCCUACGUAAAAUUGAAGCUGCCUGCUCAUUUGCAUGAUGAUUCAACAUGGUUGGGGUUCACUGUAUAUGCUUUAUAUACUAUAGAGAAGCAUCGAGCUGGUUUCGAGCAGGAUUCAAGAAUUUUUCUUCGAUUUUCUGGUAUUUCAGAGGAUCAAGUUCCUUUGCGCCUUACACGGCCUUUCCCCUGGCUAGAGACGAUUUUGAUGAGUUAUCACGUACAGCGACUUUUGGUAUUUUACAUACCGCGAUUGCUUUUUCAGUUGAGUUCGUGUAGUCACAUUGCCGCUUUAUUUAAAAGCAAUGGCCCUGGUGUGAAAGUUGACAUGUGUGGAAUCCGUCUUGUAUAUGAGCAAGAUGUCAACAAGUUUGUGCAAACACUUGUGGAGUACAUGAUAGAGUGUCCGGAGGCCUAUCAUCAAUCUAUCAGCUUAAAUCUUUUAGAUCAAAUUGGAAUGAUGCAAGACUGCAAUCAUGAAAAAGAUGAUGGUUGCGCUCUUAAUCCAGAAAGGUUAAAAUUAACUGAACCAGUAUUUUCUUUCCACACUUCAAUGCAAUAGAUAUAUAAUUUGUAAGUCAAAUUAAAGGUAUGUUCUUUUAUACUUGCAGGAGGUCAUACCCCAUGCCAAUGCUUCUACCAAGUAAUGAAAUGAUACAGGAGGAGCGCACUUCAGGGGAAACAUUUUCAAAUCAAGUAAUUGCUGCAGGCACUUCAAGAGAUUCAGGUCGACCCUAUAUUGAUUUAGGCAUACCAUUGGUGAAUGGACAAUUUGGAAGUAACAUGUCAAGCGCAAGCACUUCAAAGAAUUCACCUGGAGGCUCUACUAAUCUUGGCAUACCAUCUAUGAAUCGGCAAGGUGGAACUGGAAGUAAGACGUCAAGCACAGGCACUUCAAAAAAUUCCAGUCGAGGUCGCUCUAUUAAUUUGGGCAUACCAUUAUUUGUGGAUGGGCAAUGUGGAAGUGACAUGUCAAGCAGCCUUGAAUCUUGGUUUGGACCAUAUUUGCAGGUUCCCUCUCUAACGCAAAAAAAGAAAAAAAAAAAAAAGAAUGAGUAAUGCUACAGUCGCAAACUAUUUUACAAUAUUUAUAUCAAAUGUUGAUGUGAUCAACCCCUUAUUGGUUUUUAUCUAGGCCUAUCAUUAAUAUCACUUUUUAUUUACAAAUAUAAUCACUCACCACAUCAGCAGUUUUUAAAAUUUUUUGUAAAAUAGUUUAUAUCUCUAGUAUUAUUCAUAAAAAAUUAUGCAACACUUUCCAUAUAAUGCCUGCUAUUAUUCUUAUUUCAAAUAAUAGUAGGUAUAUAAGUGGUGUAAAUAAUUACUAGUAAAUUAGUAAUGUUAGAGACAAAAUAAUGUCCACAAUUUUUUUUUUUUUUUUUCAUAUCAAUGGAGUCCUUGACUUUAACAAAUUAAUAGAGUUCUUAACUCUACCCCAUUAAUGGAGUUACCAUCAAAUUAAUGGAGGCAUUAACUCUACCAAAUUAAUUGUGACUAAUUCUUUGGACUUAUUAAUUCCUUAAAUAGGAUUAGAGUUAAUAAUUCUUAAAAUAAAAUGACCAUAAAAUUGGGUUGAGGAAAUUUUCCAAUUCCAAAUAUGUUCACAAUGAUUAAAUUGCUUCAAAGGAGUUUUCUCUCCCUUAAUUAAAUUUGGGAAUUUCAAUCAAAAUAUUAUUAAAAUUCUGACAAAUAAGCAAAUGAAAGAAAGGAAAAUUUGCUCGAUUGCCAUAAAAGCAUGAUCCUUGAGACUAAAAUUAAUUAUCUCAAAUACAAAAUUAUGUCAAUACUUAAUUAAACACCAAGUAUUGACUUAAAGAUCCAUAAUUUAAAGUUGGACAAAACCAUAUUUGAGACUUUAAAUCUAAGAUUCCAAAAUUAAGAACUACGAAUGGGCUUGAUCCCCGCCAAGGGUACGUAGGCAACCUAAAUAAAUUAUUAGGUGUAGCCACAAAUAAAUAAAAAACACAAAUCCCCUUAAGCAUAAAAAUAAAUAAACUUAUGUACAAAGACGACAUGGUUGGAAUCAAAGGGUCUUCCCUUAAAACAAGAGAUACAUUAUCUUGAAUUGGCACUACUCACAUCAAUAAAACUCAUAUGUCAAAAGGCCUAUGGGUGAAAUUAUGUUUGACGAAUUUGACCAAAAUAACAAUUCUUGUUAAACAUAAUUUGACGAUGUUUGUUAAACAUAAUUUGACAAUUAUUGUUAAACAUUGGUUAACAAUUUUCGUCUACAACCUUAAAAUUGAAGUCGUUACUUUUAGUUUCUCAAAAAAAAAAAAAAUUGUUUCUUUUAAAACUACAAGAUUUAUUACAACCUUAAAAUGUAGAGUUGAAAUAUGAUUUUUCUAAUUUUAAGGGGAAAAAAUGAAAUAAAAGUAAUUCGGGAUUCGACUUUCAUCAGGCUUGGCAUUUGGGCUUCUACCGCUUUAAGAAACAGUCCAUAAAACAUUCUGGAUUUUGAUUGGGCUUUUACCUCUUUUGCAAACAGUGAUAUACAUUGAAGUAUGGGAUUUAUUAGUGUUUCGAAAAAACAAUCAACAUAAUGAUAAAUGGAUUUUCUGACAAUCAAUCCAUUAAAUGACAUGUUCUUCCUCAAUAGAACUUUUUUUACUUCUUUUGUUCAAAAAUUUCAACCAUGCUCAUCAAGUUAUCUGAUAUGAAAUGGCGGCCCUGGGUGGGCAAGGAUAUUGGACCAACAAGUGGCCCAAUUUGGGUUCGUCAAAGGAAGAUCAUUGGUCAUGAGUUCUACAUUGAUAAGGUUAAGGUAAAUUCUACAUUGGACACCUUUAAGUAAAUAUGUUUUUCUUUUCUUUUUUCCCUCACAUUUUACUUAAAAUAUAAAUAUUCUUCACUGCUAUCUUUCAAUUUUUGGGCAAGGCUUUUGUCUAGUAUAUUUGGCAAGAUAUGAGAUUUAUUUUUAUUUUUUUUUUUAUUUUUAUUUUUUUUUUAUAAUUUUUAGAUAUAUUAUGUCCAUAUCAUGUACCCUGAACACAAACCAAUACUCUUAAUUUUGUCACUCAUUUUCAAGAAGUAUCUAACCCAUUUAAGACAUCCUUGCAACUGUUGCAAGAUGAGAAUUUGGUCAUAUUGGAUCUAAAUGUCUCCUAUUCUUUCUAUAUUAUGUUCGAUUACAACUUUCCUAUGUCUCUAUCAUUAUAGGGACAUUCUUUAUAGCGUGUUAAUUCGACAUAUUAUGUCUCGCAGUCUCACAAAUCACUCUCUCUAAAAUUUUGAAUGAUGGUUAGUGAUAAAGGGAGAUGAUGAGGGUAGAAAGAGAACACAGUUUGCUUUUUCUUGCAAAAGACAAUUUAUACAUUACUUCUAUGAAGAAAAUUGUUGUCUGCGCACUUCCAAUAUCCAGUAGAACUCAUAUAUUGUUGUUUGCACACUUCUUUUUUUUUUUUUUUUUUUUCCAACUCUUUUUAAAGGGCAUGCAAAAUCUAAUGAUCGAAUGUACAACCUCAACGCUAAGAUCUUGGGAGAGCAGAAUUGAAAAUGAGGGGGGAAUUACAGUCAUUGAAAUUGAAAAGGAUUUGAAGAGCUUGUCUGCACAUAUAAUCUCAAGAGCCUGUUUUGAAAGCAAUUACACUCAAGGCCAGGGGAAGAAAUAUUCUUUAAGCUCAGAACUCUUGGAAAAACUAUGUCCAAGAGACCUCUUGGAAUUCCUGGGCUUAGGUACAACUACAUGAAACUCUUCACAUAAAUCACAAUCUUUUAUGCGCUAUAUGAGUUCCAAAGUUAUACAUAAUGUGAAAACGUUGGUUGUUGUACGACCAUUUCUCAUUGUUUAUUAUCUCAUAUUUUUAUAAAAAUAUAUAUUUGGGGUUAACUAAUUAUCAACAAUGGUACAUAAUUUAAAUAUCAAGGUUAUCUUAUAUUCUUAUUAGUAUGCUUAUUAUUUGUGAGCUUUCCCUAACUUAGAUCCUAUCAAUUUAAAUUUGAAGUUGCAAAAGACAAAUAUGGAAGAUUAGAGAAAGUGAUCAACCCAUGGUUGUAAAGGUAGUAAAACAACGUAUGGAGACAACUUUUGAGAAGGAUCUUCUACAAAUGAUACUAGAAGGAGCCAAAAAUUCUGUUGAUUACAGUAGUCCAUGGUCAGAUAUCUUCUGUGACAAGUUCACGACAACAUCGUGUAGCGCUUAUGGACUGCUUCUUCAACCCCAACACGGAAUUCCUCUCCAUGUGAGGAGUGUGUAAAUGACUUUUGAAUCAGUUUUUGAUGUUCAACAUAGUUUUGAGGGGCACAGAAUAAGGACUCAAGGAGAGACACUGCCUCUGUUACAUUGUUAUGGUAUCUUCAGAAUGGAAAUUUAGCAUGCAAAAAUUGCACAAACAUUAUAAUGCGAUAUACCGAUAUCGUUCUAAGUCAUUCACAAGUUACCACAUUAUAAUUGCAAUGUCAUUCCUCCCUAGAUAAGAAACAGUGGAACAUAUUUCUUCCACUCAUGACCAUCCAGGCAUCUAUUUAAAGAAGCACCAUCGCUAAAAUGGCAUCUAUAAGAACAAAAUAGUUUCAGUGUUACAAUGCAGGAAGCCCUGUUUAAUCUGCAAAGUAGGAAAAUAGGUUUCCCAUGUAUUUUGCAUGAAAUUGAAAAAUAGUUACCUCAAUAAAUUUGUAUGAAAUUAGAUGAAUCGCUGUAGUAUAUAGAGCUCGUCAAUUACAUUUUAAAUCACUGACACAUUAACAAAUGCUUUGUUUUCAAGAGCUGCAUCCCAGAUGAUUAAAAGUUUCUUUAGAGAACACAAUUUUAUUAUAUAUCUGUGGAAAAAGCAGAACAAAAUUCAAAUGAUUCUGUUUGGUAACAUAUUUUUUACACUGAAGGAAAUUUUGAUUCACUAAAUCAUUCAAAUGACUUUGUUAUUAAUUGCAUAUUAAUAGAUUCAGAUUCAAUAUAUUCAGUGGCUCACUGUAAAUUCCACACCUUCAAAUUCAAUCUCCUUCACAUUUUCAAAUAAAAAGCACAACAAAGAUUAUGCAAAUAAUGCAUUACAGUUAUGAGAGUUUAGUUCUGAUGGUCUAUAAUAAUAUAGACAACCUUCAAACUGUGACCAGGAUCCACAUUUUGAAAUGAAAACCAGGAUUUUACUUUAAGCCUCAUGGAAAGAAUAUGACAAGGAUUGCAAAUACAGAAAUUUAUUCAACUUUUCUAGAUAUGAUAUGGAGCCAGCUCUAUAACUUGGUGUUAGAAUUUGUUGAAGAUUGAAUGCUGCAACAGAAGAGGGAUUGACACUUGUAGGGAGCUCAAACAUAGCUUCUGCUGAUUAUAAUUUUGAGUAG